rnacentral:rRNA from 1 species
GACGAACGCUGGCGGCGUGCUUAACACAUGCAAGUCGAACGGAAAGGCCCUGCUUUUGUGGGGUGCUCGAGUGGCGAACGGGUGAGUAACACGUGAGUAACCUGCCCUUGACUUUGGGAUAACUUCAGGAAACUGGGGCUAAUACCGGAUAGGAGCUCCUGCUGCAUGGUGGGGGUUGGAAAGUUUCGGCGGUUGGGGAUGGACUCGCGGCUUAUCAGCUUGUUGGUGGGGUAGUGACUUACCAAGGCUUUGACGGGUAGCCGGCCUGAGAGGGUGACCGGCAACAUUGGGACUGAGAUACGGCCCAGACCCCUACGGGAGGCAGCAGUGGGGAAUAUUGCACAAUGGGCGGAAGCCUGAUGCAGCAACGCCGCGUGCGGGAUGACGGCCUUCGGGUUGUAAACCGCUUUCGCCUGUGACGAAGCGUGAGUGACGGUAAUGGGUAAAGAAGCACCGGCUAACUACGUG